UCCGGUUUGUCACCGGCAGUCUCACAUGAGUCCCCAACUAAAUGCUGGCAACAUGCGACGGGGGUUGCGCUCGUUGCAGGACUUAACCCAACAUCUCACGACACGAACUGACGACAGCCAUGCAGCACCUCGGCUGGCUCCCUUGCGGGUCGCCCCAACUUUCAUCGGGACUACUACCAGUCGUUCGAGCCCAGGUAAGGUUCUUCGCGUAGCGUCGAAUUAAACCACAUGCUCCACCGCUUGUGCGGGCCCCCGUCAAUUCCUUUGAGUUUUAACCUUGCGGCCGUACUCCCCAGGCGGAUGACUUAACGCGUUAGCUGCGACACGGGAGGGGUCGAUACCCCCCAUAUCUAGUCAUCAUCGUUUACAGCUAGGAUUAC
rnacentral:misc_RNA from 1 species